rnacentral:sRNA from 1 species
CCCAAACACCUCCUCUUUCUCUCGGUGAUUGGCCAAGAGGCAGUUCCCAUAGUAACUGACACCGCGCUCGCACUUCCCAGCCUGGAGGACAGCGCCGGCCCUCGUAUUAGCAACUUGGAAGAGAGGGCGCCCAGGUGGGCACUCGCAACUUCUUACGUAUCUGCGCGUUCUCUUCGCACCCACUGGCGUGAGCCUGCGCUUCCGCCUUCCUUCCCUCACAAGCCCCCUUGGCAACCGUCGCCGUUGAGACGGAGGGAGACGGCCCCACGGAUUCGCCCCGCCGCGCCUCUCCGCGCGUAGAUUGGCCGGAGCGAGGCGAACGGACCCGGGCUUGGUAGCCGCAGACCGAGCGCUGGCUGUCCUGGAACCGAGGCGGCGGGAGCCCGGGGCGCCCCGCCGCACGGAAGAGCGGCGAGAUGCUCAACCGCAAGACCAGCCACUUUUUGGGAAUGCGGGUGCAGUCGGAGCUUGAACAUCUCUCCGAGCUGCGGCGGGAAGCGGGGAAGGAUCGCAGCUCAGUGCGUGGGUCGGCCGCACGGACGCGAGCGAGUGUGCGGACCCAGUCGACGACGACGACGGCGGCGGCGGCGGCGAAAGCGGAUGAAGACCCCGGAGCCAACUUGUUUCCGCCGCCGCUGCCCCGACCCCGGAUCUGCAUGUGGAAGUACCUGGACAUCCAUUCCAUGCACCAGCUGGAGAAGACCACCAAUGCUGAGGAGAUGAGGGAGUAGGGACUGAGGGGGGCACGGGAAGAGCUCUUGGCAAAGGCUGAGGGGUCAGGUUGGGAAAACAUGAGGAAUGGCUGACUCCAAAGCAUGUGGUGGGUGUAGGGUGAUGAAAGGAGGCCCAGUUGUCACUCACUCCUCUCUCCCUCCCAAGGGUGCUGGCUGAGCUGCUGGAGCUAGGGUGUCCUGAGCAGAGCCUGCGGGAUGCCGUCACCCUGGACCUCUUCUGCCACGCGCUCAUUUUCUGCCGCCAGCAGGGCUUCUCACUGGAGCAGACGUCAGCGGCUUGUGCCCUGCUCCAGGAUCUUCACAAGGCUUGUAUUGCAUCGACCUCUUCAAAGAGGAACAGCUGCUGGCCUUGGAAGACUACGUGGUCAACACUUACUUUCGCCACUUCAAGCUCUAUAAAUACGUCUUCACACCCCAGGUGCGGCUGGAUCUGUCUUUGACUUACAUGGGGCUGCAGCCACCCAAACUGUGGCCAGAGAGUGAGACAGGUAAGGGAGAGUGCCAGGGCAGGGCUGGGCUGGGCCAGGCCUGGGGCCACAGUCUCUUCCUGCUUCUGGUUUGCAGAGAAAGAAGAAAGCAAGGAGGUGGAGGAGCAGGCAGUUACCCCGCGGAAAGAGGAACUAGAGACGGUGGCCCCGCCAGAGCCAGAGCCAAGCCACGUCCACAUCCUCCGAGCCUACAUCAAGACCCAAGUGAACAAGGAGCUGGAGCAGCUCCAGCAGCUGGUGGAGGAGCGGCUCAAGGCCAGCGAGGAAAGGCUCAGCAGCAAGUUGACUGCACUAGAGCGGCCCUUCCAGCUACCUCCGGGUAAAGGCAAGAGCAAGACCAAGUGACCCCCAGCAUUUUCCCCAAUAAAGGUCUGGGCCAGAAUGGCACCAUCCCUGCA